rnacentral:rRNA from 1 species
GACGAACGCUGGCGGCGUGCUUAACACAUGCAAGUCGAACGGAAAGGCCCUGCUUUUGUGGGGUGCUCGAGUGGCGAACGGGUGAGUAACACGUGAGUAACCUGCCCUUGACUUUGGGAUAACUUCAGGAAACUGGGGCUAAUACCGGAUAGGAGCUCCUGCUGCAUGGUGGGGGUUGGAAAGUUUCGGCGGUUGGGGAUGGACUCGCGGCUUAUCAGCUUGUUGGUGGGGUAGUGGCUUACCAAGGCUUUGACGGGUAGCCGGCCUGGGAGGGUGACCGGCCACAUUGGAACUGGGAUGCGGCCCAGACUCCUACGGGAGGCAGCAGUGGGGAAUAUUGCACUAUGGGCGGAAGCCUGAUGCAGCAACGCCGCGUGCGGGAUGACGGCCUUCGGGUUGUAAACCGAUUUCGCCUGUGACGAAGAGAGAGUGACGGUAAUGGGUGAAGAAGCACCGGCUAACUACGUG